rnacentral:rRNA from 1 species
GACGAACGCUGGCGGCGUGCUUAACACAUGCAAGUCGAGCGGUAAGGCCCUUUCGGGGGUACACGAGCGGCGAACGGGUGAGUAACACGUGGGUGACCUGCCCUCAGCUCUGGGAUAAGCCUGGGAAACCGGGUCUAAUACUGGAUAUGACUCCAUGACGCAUGUUGUGGGGUGGAAAGCCUUGUGCGGCUGAGGAUGGGCCCGCGGCCUAUCAGCUUGUUGGUGGGGUGANGGCCUACCAAGGCGACGACGGGUAGCCGGCCUGAGAGGGCGACCGGCCACACUGGGACUGAGACACGGCCCAGACUCCUACGGGAGGCAGCAGUGGGGAAUCUUGCGCAAUGGGCGAAAGCCUGACGCAGCGACGCCGCGUGAGGGAUGACGGCCUCGGUUGUAACGUACUUCUA